rnacentral:lncRNA from 1 species
CUUGGUCUUGGUAUUUGCGGAGGGCGGGGCUCUUCUCACCUUCCUUGUCCUUUCUUGAGCUCUUUCUCGGCCCUCGGUGGGACUGGGAGGAGGAGCUGGUUUCUGGGCCCAGUUGGAUUUUUCUCACCUUGACUUGCCCAACUUAAUUUGGAGUGCCUUCCAAGUGUUUACGAUACGAUUGGUGUCAUUGUAUGUUUCUCCAAAAGGAGUCUCACCUUCGUAGCGUAACAGUGAUGUGAGACCACUUGGUAAAGAUCCUGUUAAAGCCUGGGCGGGGAUUGCCUUUCUCUGUCACCUAUUAGCUUUCUUAUUGUAGGGUGGAGACAUGAAUUUUGUUUUUUUGUGGCCGAGCCAUUUGUCUUGCACCGCCCCUCCCCCCCAUGCUAAUUACACAAGGCUUGCUUAAACAGCGGAA